rnacentral:rRNA from 1 species
CACUGGACUGAGACACGGUCCAGACUCCUACGGGAGGCAGCAGUGGGGAAUAUUGCACAAUGGGCGCAAGCCUGAUGCAGCCAUGCCGCGUGUAUGAAGAAGGCCUUCGGGUUGUAAAGUACUUUCAGCAGUGAGGAAGGUGUUGUAGUUAAUAACUGCAUCAUUUGACGUUAGCUGCAGAAGAAGCACCGGCUAACUCCGUGCCAGCAGCCGCGGUAAUACGGAGGGUGCGAGCGUUAAUCGGAAUUACUGGGCGUAAAGCGCAUGCAGGUGGAUGAUUAAGUCAGAUGUGAAAGCCCGGGGCUCAACCUCGGAAUUGCAUUUGAAACUGGUUAUCUAGAGUACUGUAGAGGGGGGUAGAAUUUCAGGUGUAGCGGUGAAAUGCGUAGAGAUCUGAAGGAAUACCGGUGGCGAAGGCGGCCCCCUGGACAGAUACUGACACUCAGAUGCGAAAGCGUGGGGAGCAAACAGGAUUAGAUACCCUGGUAGUCCACGCCGUAAACGAUGUCUACUUGGAGGUUGUGGCCUUGAGCCGUGGCUUUCGGAGCUAACGCGUUAAGUAGACCGCCUGGGGAGUACGGUCGCAAGAUUAAAACUCAAAUGAAUUGACGGGGGCCCGCACAAGCGGUGGAGCAUGUGGUUUAAUUCGAUGCAACGCGAAGAACCUUACCUACUCUUGACAUCCAGAGAACUUUCCAGAGAUGGAUUGGUGCCUUCGGGAACUCUGAGACAGGUGCUGCAUGGCUGUCGUCAGCUCGUGUUGUGAAAUGUUGGGUUAAGUCCCGCAACGAGCGCAACCCUUAUCCUUGUUUGCCAGCGAGUAAUGUCGGGAACUCCAGGGAGACUGCCGGUGAUAAACCGGAGGAAGGUGGGGACGACGUCAAGUCAUCAUGGCCCUUACGAGUAGGGCUACACACGUGCUACAAUGGCGCAUACAGAGGGCAGCAAGCUAGCGAUAGUGAGCGAAUCCCAAAAAGUGNGUCGUAGUCCGGAUUGGAGUCUGCAACUCGACUCCAUGAAGUCGGAAUCGCUAGUAAUCGUGGAUCAGA